UACGUAGGGGGCAAGCGUUGUUCGGAAUUACUGGGCGUAAAGGGCUCGUAGGCGGCCAACUAAGUCGGACGUGAAAUCCCCAGGCUCAACCUGGGAACUGCGUCCGAUACUGGAUGGCUUGAAUUCGGGAGAGGGAUGCAGAAUUCCAGGUGUAGCGGUGAAAUGCGUAGAUAUCUGGAGGAAUACCGGUGGCGAAGGCGGCAUCCUGGACCGACAUUGACGCUGAGGAGCGAAAGCUAGGGGAGCAAACGGG
rnacentral:rRNA from 1 species